rnacentral:siRNA from 1 species
UACAUGGUAUUAGAGUCUCUGUAU